AGCGAACGCUGGCGGCAGGCCUAACACAUGCAAGUCGAACGAACUCUUCGGAGUUAGUGGCGGACGGGUGAGUAACACGUGGGAACGUGCCUUUUGGUUCGGAAUAACUCAGUGAAACUUGUGCUAAUACCGAAUGUGCCCUUCGGGGGAAAGAUUUAUCGCCAUUAGAGCGGCCCGCGUCUGAUUCGCUAGUUGGUGAGGUAACGGCUCACCAAGGCGACGAUCAGUAGCUGGUCUGAGAGGAUGACCAGCCACACUGGGACUGAGACACGGCCCAGACUCCUAUGGGAGGCAGCAGUGGGGAAUCUUGCGCAAUGGGCGAAAGCCUGACGCAGCCAUGCCGCGUGAAUGAUGAAGGUCUUAGGAUUGUAAAAUUCUUUCACCGGAGACGAUAAUGACGGUACCCGGAGAAGAAGCCCCGGCUAACUUCGUG
rnacentral:rRNA from 1 species